AAAAUAGGGAUAGAUAAAUAUUUGUACAGGAAGGAAGGAAUAGAAAAAAAAAGAAAAAAAACUGUGAAUUCUUGGAAGAAUUGUACAACACGCUUCUUUGAUAAAAAAAGGAAACGAAAAAUGUGAGAAAAUUACUAAAGUACACGUGUGUUUGUGUCUACGUGUAAGAAUCUGUCUGUAAAAUGAUUCGAAUAAAUAGGUGUAACAAUAUUAAUUGCACUAAUCAACUAAAAAAACUCCCUUUCUUUCUUGUGCUCAUUCGUGCUCGUUUAAACUCGAUAUUUACAGCUAAGUUUGUAAGUGUACAAUGUAAAUAAAAGAAGAAACGUGCGAAUACACGGUAAGGAUGAAUUCAAAGAAGCGUAUUUGGAUGAAAAUUGUGUUCGAAUUGUGAAGAGUGUUCCUUCCUAUGUACGAGUUAAUAGGAAACUUGUUUCGUUCCAUGGAAAAAAGAAAGAAAGAAAGAAAAAACAAAAAAUGAUUUAGAACGAAAAAUGAAGAAAAAAAUGGUUGAUAAAUAGCACGUAUGCAAAGUACACAAUUACGUUGCCUUCAUGCAAAUGAAAUCGAUCUAUUUCUAUAAGUUCAUAAAUAAAUUAAAUAUUCUAAUAUAUAUAUAUAUUCUUCAAUUCUGUGAAUUUCUUCAUAAAUCAUUGUCGAUUGUCUUCUCGAGGAUUAUCGAAUACAAUUAUUUUUAAGAUGUGAAAUACGAAAAUAAAAAUAAAUAUAGAAAUUAACGCGCAAAUUGAGUAGGUUUUCACCCUUAACAUAAAAAUAUAUUUCUUGUUGGUAUUAAGAUUCUGUGAAAAAAAAAAUGUAAAAUUUAAGAAAUGUUUAAACAAAAAAGUUUCUUUAUCUUUAACUUUUUCUAAAAACGACCAACUUUUUUUUAAUUUUAUUUUACAUUUCAUAAAUUUUUCAGCAAUUUUUAUCAAUAGAAUGAUUUUAUAAAACAAUCUUUAAAUUAUAAAAAAAAAAUAAAAAUUGUUUAUAAAUUCAAAAAAAAACGUUCGAUCAAGAAAUAUUUAUAUGCUUUCUCUUGUAAACACAAUUUCAAAACUACAAUAAAAAUUACGUUGAAUAAAUAUUUCUUCGUUACUCAAAACUCAUCGAUCGGCUACAAAAUGAUUAUACAAAACUAAAAAGAAAAAAAAUAAAUAAAUAAAUUUAUCUCUCAAGAGGUCGAACAAAAUCACAACGAUUUAACUUAUGAAAAAGAAGAAAAGAAAAAGUUGAAAAGAGAAAGAAAUCUUGGCAUAGAAAUUCGGCCACUUUUCUAUGAAAACAAAAAUAGGCGGGAAAAGAAUGGUGAUAAUAUAUAAAUAACGAUAUAAUAAUAAAGAUGGCAGAGAACACGAUGAAAAGAGACUCGGUGGCAUCGCGAGACGCUUUUGAAAAUAUGUGCCGUCGCUACUUCUUUCAUCGUCGUGCGAGUAUAAUCGCGGAUAUCUCGCGACACGAGGAGAGAACUCGACAGUUCGUCGUGCCUCUUCCCGUUCGGCCGC